rnacentral:rRNA from 1 species
AACGAACGCUGGCGGCAUGCCUAACACAUGCAAGUCGAACGGGAUCCUAGCUUGCUAGGUGAGAGUGGCGGACGGGUGAGUAACACGUGGGAAUCUGCCUUUUGGUUCGGGAUAACCGCGGGAAACUGCGGCUAAUACCGAAUGCCCUCGAGAGAGGAAAGAUUUAUCGCCAGAAGAGGAGCCCGCGUCCGAUUAGGUAGUUGGUGGGGUAAAGGCCUACCAAGCCGACGAUCGGUAGCUGGUCUGAGAGGAUGAUCAGCCACACUGGGACUGAGAUACGGCCCAGACUCCUACGGGAGGCAGCAGUGGGGAAUAUUGGACAAUGGGGGCAACCCUGAUCCAGCAAUGCCGCGUGAGUGAUGAAGGCCUUAGGGUUGUAAAGCUCUUUUGCCGGGGACGAUAAUGACGGUACCCGGAGAAUAGGUCCCGGCUAACUUCGUGCCAGCAGCCGCGGU